rnacentral:rRNA from 1 species
CUUAAUCCGGUACGCAUCUAUCAUGCAGUCGAGCGAGCUGAAUUCAAAGAUCCCUUCGGGGUGAUUUGUUGGACGCUAGCGGCGGAUGGGUGAGUAACACGUGGGCAAUCUGCCCUAAAGACUGGGAUACCACUUGGAAACAGGUGCUAAUACCGGAUAACAACAUGAAUCGCAUGAUUCAAGUUUGAAAGGCGGCGCAAGCUGUCACUUUAGGAUGAGCCCGCGGCGCAUUAGCUAGUUGGUGGGGUAAAGGCCUACCAAGGCAAUGAUGCGUAGCCGAGUUGAGAGACUGAUCGGCCACAUUGGGACUGAGACACGGCCCAAACUCCUACGGGAGGCAGCAGUAGGGAAUCUUCCACAAUGGACGCAAGUCUGAUGGAGCAACGCCGCGUGAGUGAAGAAGGUCUUCGGAUCGUAAAGCUCUGUUGUUGGUGAAGAAGGAUAGAGGCAGUAACUGGUCUUUAUUUGACGGUAAUCAACCAGAAAGUCACGGCUAACUACGUGCCAGCAGCCGCGGUAAUACGUAGGUGGCAAGCGUUGUCCGGAUUUAUUGGGCGUAAAGCGAGCGCAGGCGGAAUGAUAAGUCUGAUGUGAAAGCCCACGGCUCAACCGUGGAACUGCAUCGGAAACUGUCAUUCUUGAGUGCAGAAGAGGAGAGUGGAACUCCAUGUGUAGCGGUGGAAUGCGUUAGAUAUAUGGAAGAACACCAGUGGCGAAGCGGCUCUCUGGUCUGCAAACUUGACGCUGAGGCUCGAAAGCAUGGGUAGCGAACC